UACGUAGGGCGCAAGCGUUGUCCGGAAUUAUUGGGCGUAAAGAGCUCGUAGGCGGUUUGUCGCGUCUGUCGUGAAAGCUUGGGGCUUAACCCCAAGUCUGCGGUGGAUACGGGCAGACUAGAGGCAGGUAGGGGAGAACGGAAUUCCCGGUGUAGCGGUGAAAUGCGCAGAUAUCGGGAGGAACACCAGUGGCGAAGGCGACUACCUGGCCUGUUCUUGACGCUGAGGCGCGAAAGCUAGGGGAGCAAACAGG
rnacentral:rRNA from 1 species